rnacentral:rRNA from 1 species
GACGAACGCUGGCGGCGUGCCUAAUACAUGCAAGUCGAACGCUGAAGGAGGAGCUUGCUUCUCUGGAUGAGUUGCGAACGGGUGAGUAACGCGUAGGUAACCUGCCUGGUAGCGGGGGAUAACUAUUGGAAACGAUAGCUAAUACCGCAUAAGAGUAGAUGUUGCAUGACAUUUGCUUAAAAGGUGCAAUUGCAUCACUACCAGAUGGACCUGCGUUGUAUUAGCUAGUUGGUGGGGUAACGGCUCACCAAGGCGACGAUACAUAGCCGACCUGAGAGGGUGAUCGGCCACACUGGGACUGAGACACGGCCCAGACUCCUACGGGAGGCAGCAGUAUGGAAUCUUCGGCAAUGGACGGAAGUCUGACCGAGCAACGCCGCGUGAGUGAAGAAGGUUUUCGGAUCGUAAAGCUCUGUUGUAAGAGAAGAACGAGUGUGAGAGUGGAAAGUUCACACUGUGACGGUAUCUUACCAGAAAGGGACGGCUAACUACGUG